rnacentral:rRNA from 1 species
UGGUGGGUAGUUUGACUGGGGCGGUCUCCUCCUAAAGAGUAACGGAGGAGCACGAAGGUUGGCUAAUCCUGGUCGGACAUCAGGAGGUUAGUGCAAUGGCAUAAGCCAGCUUGACUGCGAGCGUGACGGCGCGAGCAGGUGCGAAAGCAGGUCAUAGUGAUCCGGUGGUUCUGAAUGGAAGGGCCAUCGCUCAACGGAUAAAAGGUACUCCGGGGAUAACAGGCUGAUACCGCCCAAGAGUUCAUAUCGACGGCGGUGUUUGGCACCUCGAUGUCGGCUCAUCACAUCCUGGGGCUGAAGUAGGUCCCAAGGGUAUGGCUGUUCGCCAUUUAAAGUGGUACGCGAGCUGGGUUUAGAACGUCGUGAGACAGUUCGGUCCCUAUCUGCCGUGGGCGCUGGAGAACUGAGGGGGGCUGCUCCUAGUACGAGAGGACCGGAGUGGACGCAUCACUGGUGUUCGGGUUGUCAUGCCAAUGGCAUUGCCCGGUAGCUAAAUGCGGAAGAGAUAAGUGCUG